UACCAGCACCCCGAGUGGUCGGGACGAUUAUUGGGCCUAAAGCAUCCGUAGCCGGUUCUGCAAGUCUUCCGUUAAAUCCACCUGCUCAACAGAUGGGCCGCGGAGGAUACUACAGGGCUAGGAGGCGGGAGAGGCAAGCGGUACUCAGUGGGUAGGGGUAAAAUCCGUUGAUCCAUUGAAGACCACCAGUGGCAAAGGCGGCUUGCCAGAACGCGCUCGACGGUGAGGGAUGAAAGCUGGGGGAGCAAACCGG
rnacentral:rRNA from 1 species